AUUGAACGCUGGCGGCAUGAUUUACACAUGCAAGUCGAACGGUAACAGGCCGCAAGGUGCUGACGAGUGGCGAACGGGUGAGUAAUGCAUUGGAACGUGCCCAGUCGUGGGGGAUAACUACUCGAAAGAGUAGCUAAUACCGCAUACGAUCUAUGGAUGAAAGCGGGGGACCGUAAGGCCUCGCGCGAUUGGAGCGGCCGAUGUCAGAUUAGGUAGUUGGUGGGGUAAAGGCUCACCAAGCCAACGAUCUGUAGCUGGUCUGAGAGGACGACCAGCCACACUGGGACUGAGACACGGCCCAGACUCCUACGGGAGGCAGCAGUGGGGAAUUUUGGACAAUGGGCGCAAGCCUGAUCCAGCAAUGCCGCGUGCAGGAAGAAGGCCUUCGGGUUGUAAACUGCUUUUGUACGGAACGAAACGGCUCUGGUUAAUACCCGGGGCUAAUGACGGUACCGUAAGAAUAAGCACCGGCUAACUACGUG
rnacentral:rRNA from 1 species